rnacentral:sRNA from 1 species
AAAUUUGCUUACCUGGUAAAAUUAUUUUGUGUUAGUUAUUUUGUAUUUGAUUUAGGUUUAAAUUGCAUUUUAUUUUACAUAAAAGUCACUUAAUCACUUGUUGUCAGGAACUUAAUCAAACCUUUUAAUCAUUCUCUGGACAAGAUUAAGUUUACACUGAUGCAGAUUUUCCAACGUUAAGUUUCUUUAUGCAGACAUUUUUAAAGUGACUUUGGACAAAUGCAUCCUUAAUCAGCAAAAGAAACACAAGUCAAGUAGUUGCACAAGUCUGCCACAUUAAAGUUUGAAGCUUGGUUCCAUUCCACCUAGAGCAAAAUGCCAUCUUGAGCAUUUCUCAGCUCAUAGAAGCCAGUUUUUGUCAGACUUGCUAGAAUAUAUCAGCCAUCAAGGGUACACUGCCCCAAUGGUAGAAUUGACAUAAUUUCAAUGCAAUAUUGAUUUUGUUUUCAUUUAUAUCAAUAAAAUCAAUCAUUGCUAUUUAUUUUACCUAUUUAUACACAAAUGCUCUAGAAGAACUGUAACAUAUUUAUAAAUUGUUAGAAUUUGUUAUUUGUUAUACUCAUACACAGGAAUUGUACAUAAAACUGUUAUUGUAUCUUUAUUAACAAUUACUGUAAACAGGGUUAUUUUUGCCCCAUGUUAUUUUCGCUCUUCUACAUUAAAAAACGUGCAGUUUCGCCCCAUCUUGAAUUCGCCCAGACACAGUUGUGUUUAUUUUAAACAGAGAUAAUUUUGAGACAUUGGAAUUUGCUCAGUCGUAAAUUCGCCCACUGACAAUGAGGACGAAAUGAGCGAAAAUAAAACGGGGGCGAAAUAUUUCCCAGUGUACAGUGUUAAUAUAAAUGAAUUUUAUUAUAUGCUGAUAAAUUGCCCUACUUGACAUCAUUUCUUGAGACUUAUUAAUCUUUCUUGCCAAUAUUUUUUAUAAAAAUUUAAAUUAUUAAAGCAAUAGAUGUUCUAAUUCAUCUUUUUUUAUAGAGUGUAAAUCAUUAAAAAUUGUUACAUUGAAAACUUUAUUAACUAUGUUUCUUACUGUGUUAAAGAAAUAUGCAUUACUGUUUGACAUGUAAUUAAGUCGAAAUCUAUGUUUUCAAUUUUGCCAUAAUAAAUGGGUGAUUAAAAU